UAUAACCUUUUGUGUGAUUUGUUUGUUAAAUAUCAAUAGAUACAACCCAUAGAAGCAAAAGCCUUGGGUCAUUCUCAAUAAUUAGAUAAUAAAAGAGUUCUGAGCCUAAAAGCCCUUAUGUUUUAGAAUGACCCAUUCUAUCUAAUUUUACUGGUGACAGAUUUUUUGAAUUUCACCUUAGUAUUGACCGUAUUGCUUUUCUGUUGGAGACAAUUUCAGGAAGAAAAUGAACCAUUAAUCCACACGUAAGAUAUCUAUUAUAACAUUGACAAAAUCUGUGUGCCUUUUUUUUGUACUAAGGGUUGAACCUUGCAUCUUACAAUUGCUAAGCAACAUUCUACCAUUAAGCUUUCUCCUCAGCCAAUAUGUCAUUUUCAUGUUAGAAUUAUCUGCUUUCAAGUUGCCAAAAGAAAACAGAAUAGUGUUUGACAUUUUUUCCUUUAUUGUUAAAUUACGUUUGUGGCUUGAUGCUGUGCUCUCAAUAGCAUGAGGGUUCUGGAAGACCUCAAUUGUUUUUAGCUUAACUCACUGUGCCCCAGUAUGGUCAUACAUAUGCUGUGGAAACAGAAAGGCAUAGCAAACAUUUCCUUCAAAGAAUUUGCUUUGAGGAAGUUUUCCUGCUCCUCAAUUCCAAUAUCACCAAAUGUGAGUCCCAUAUUAUAUGUCUCCUUUUCUUUCCCAGGAAUCAAACCUUUCACCUGACCUCAGCCGCCACAUCUCAAUACACACACACACACACACACACACACACACACACACACACCACAAGAUAUGUAUGAAGGAGAAGAAAUGUCUUGGAAACAUUUAAAAGUGAAAGGAAAAAAUGGAUGAGUUUUCAAGGCUACUUAAGCAGAAUACUUUCCCUUGAGUCUAUAUGACUCAGCUUUGCUCUGCUGCCUCAGCCUGAGCAAACAUGGUUUUAAUUUUGAAUACUACCUGUUUUAAAAUGAUUUUCCAUAAAAAAAUAAAGGUAAUGGAUUCCACAUUCAGAUUCAGUACAUCCUCAAGAAACACAAGAUAUAGAGCCCAGGAAGGUAAUGAAAUGUGAGGAAAACUUCAAAGCAACACCACCCCCUGUCCUCUCUCCCCCGCACAAGGAAACACUCCAUUUCACAUCUUGGCUGUUUAUCUAACCAUGAGAGAGAUCAAUCAGGAAAACAGGUGUGAACUAGAGAGUCAGCGGAAUUGAGCGCUGUCCACUGUUGGGUUUCAGGUGGAUUUCCUUUUCCCUUUCAAGAAAUUUAGAGCUGGAGCGCUGUGAUUUUAGAUUCUUCUGGACUGCAUUGAGAGUGCGUGCUGAGCUGUCUUUCUAUCCUGCCAUGGAAUCACUGCCUCCCUCAUGUGACAUCAACACUUUGGAGAGAGCUUUCAGGAAGUUGGUACCAAAGAAAUGGAAGUAAAUGCACUGAAUAAAAACCAAGAAUGCUCUUUUGAAGUAUUUUGAAGUAUUUGACCGAUUAUAGAAGCAGCCUCCCAGGAAAGAAGCUGAGAAGGAGUCACACAAUUCAAAGGAAAAACAGUUUCCAGUUCUCUGUACUGACAUCAGUAAUUCCCUGCCUCUUUGAGAAUUGGCAGUCGAGGUGUAAGAUUAGUGUUGCUCUCAACCUUGACCAGAGAAACUUUGUUUGAAGUGGGCAGUGGUUUAUGCAGAGACUCACAAUUGAUCAACAUGUAAAAAUAGGUGACUGCUGAGUGCUCAGCCCUACAUGGGACAUCUAUAUACUCCUCUAUUAUAAAGCUCAGGGGACAACUGUAAGAACCUGAAGUUGAGGAUGAUUGCUGUGAGAUG